rnacentral:rRNA from 1 species
GUGUCAGCAGCCGCGGUAAAACGUAGGAGACGAGCGUUAUCCGGAUUUACUGGGCGUAAAGCGCGUGCAGGCGGUUUAUUAAGUCACUUGUGAAAGCGCCCGGCUCAACUGGGCGAGGCCGUGUGAGACUGAUAGACUUGAGAGAGGUAGAGGCGAAUGGAAUUCCGGGUGGAGUGGUGAAAUGCGUAGAGAUCCGGAGGAACACCAGUGGCGAAGGCGAUUCGCUGGGCCUUCUCUGACGCUCAGACGCGACAGCAUGGGGAGCGAACGGGAUUAGAAACCCCUGUAGUCC